CUUCAGCGAGCCCAGCCAGAGCGGCCGUACCGGGUCGUGCUCCUGCCCGUACGUGGCGAUGAGCGCCUGGGCCUC
rnacentral:antisense_RNA from 1 species